UAUGUUCGGCUUCAUGAUAAUUCUACGUGAUUUUUUGUUGCAAAUUAUGUAAACAUCAUUUAACUUUUACAUGACGAUUCAGAUAUUGAAACUGACUCUAAUAUACCGGACCACCCUAUAGAGUUUACGUGAAAAGUGCAGUGGAUGAGAAUCACAUGUGAAUUCACGUAGAAGUAACAUGAUUUAUUUUUUUAGUGAUAGCAGAUAUUAUCUGCUAGAUCUGAAGUUCAACUCAACGGUUCAGUUUAAAAUAAAACAAAAGCUUCUAAAAUUCUGAGUAUUAAUACGUUUUGUUAAAGUAUUUAACAUAUAAAUAAAGUUUUUCUAGAUUGAAAACAUUUGAAAAAAUCUGAAAAAUGAGCGGAAGAUGAAGGCCACGACAUUUUUUCCUGAUGAAACCUUGGUACGACCAAAAAUAUACGAAAAAGCAAAAAGUACACACAAAAAGUACUGCUCAUAUGACACAGGGUUCGUAUGACCACAACGUUCAAUCUGUUGAGCUGCCGCAAAAUGCACUAGGCCAUCAGAGAUUUAAUCAAUUCAACAAUGAACUUUCCAGUUCCGAUACACGCGGCGAAACAACCAUAGAUAAUGGAUGUGUACUUGUAGCUCCGAGGAAGCAAACUGUCUUGAGGGUAAUGAUCUAUAUACCAACCAAAAUCAGAUUGGGGAAGCUAAUGAAACAGAUACACAUUUUGAAUCGGAAAGUUAUAAUGGUGACUAUAUAAUAUUCACUGACAAGAUGAAAGUGUCAGAUGUACUGUUCAUGGUGCUAAAUCUGUACGUCAAAUAUAAAUUUAGUCAGGAAACAGUCGAAGAUUUGCUACGAAUGCUAAAUUUAUUAACAAAACGGAAACCCUUUCCCGAAAGUUUUGCUACAUUUUCGAAAAAGUUUCCUGACCCUUACAAUAUCGAGAGAAACUACUUUUGCACAAAUUGUCAGUGCGGAUAUGAAAAACAGCCUUGUCCUGAAUCAACAUGUCCUGUUGAAAAUUGCGGUUCAACUGCCAAAGAUUUUUUUAUUACUAUUCCAAUUGAAGAACAAAUCAGAGAAACUUUUAAGAAAUAUUCAGAAGAGAUCAAAGACUAUAAAGAGAUGAUUGGAACGAAAAAAAAUAGCAGAUAUCAACUGUGGUAAUCUCGCACAGUCCCUUCCGGGGUUCACAACAGAAAAUAUCAUAACGCUAUCUGCAAAUGAAGACGGCGCAGUGUCAUACAAAUGUACUAACAAAAAACCUCUGUAUCCCCUGUUUUUGACUGUGAAUAAUUUACCACCCAGAUUGCGAUUUAGAAAGAACAAUCUGAUUUUGGCAGGACUUUGGUUUAAUAGGGGUAAGCCGAGCAUGGGUCUGUUCCACAAAAAAAUUUUACUAGAACUGCAAAAAAUACGAAAUGGGAUGUAUAUUGGAACUGAGCUUUAUCAAGUAGUUCUCCUGCAAGUAUGUCUAGAUUCAGUUGCAAGAUGCGAGUUGUUUUGCUCUAAGCAGUUCAAUGGCUGGUACGGCUGCACAAUUUGUUUGCACCCAGGAAAAUUAAUGUAUAAUCAAAUACGAUAUCCGUACAAGAAAGUAAAUAUUAGAGAAGACGAAGAAACCCGUAAAUUGAUGCUGGAAGUUAUUGAGUCAACUUCACAUGAUUCAAAAUUUGGAAUAAAAGGCAUUUCCAUUUUAAUAGGAGUCCCAAAUUUCAACAUAAUCGACGGACUACCCGUUGACUAUAUGCAUAUGGGACUUUUGGGUGUCACCAAAACGUUUUGGGAGCUGCUUAUGAAAGCGGAUAGUGAUAGCAAACAACGCCCGUACUAUAUAGGAAGCCAAAAACAACUCAUAGAAAGCAGGCUCCUCUCAAUUAGACUUCCAAGCUGUUUUCUACGUCGACUGCGUAAAAUCGAAGAAUACCUAAAAUUUAAGGCUUCGGAAUGGGAAACCAUACUUUUGCAUUGUAUUUACCCAUGCUUGCAUGAUAUAUUACCUCUCAAAUACCUAAAUCUUAUAAUGCUAUUUGCUACAACAAUUUUUGAAUUGCUAGAAGUGGUUAUUACGGAACACACUUUAGCAGCAUGCGACAAGCGAAUGAAAGAGUUUGCUAAAUGUUACGAAAAACUUUUUGGUGAAGAGAGUAUGCUGUAUAACAUUCAUCUUUCAACUCACUUGGUACGAACAGUAGCUAAUUUAGGUGCGUUGUAGAACUCAUCGCUUUUCCCGUAUGAAAAUGGAAACGGAAUGUUGUUAGAUUUUCAGUCAUCCAAUAAUCACCCAGUGCUACAGGUCGCGACAAAAUUUAUACUACAUCGGAUCUGUCAUUACACAACAUUACCCGACAACUCUCCAGUCAAAGAUUGGACAAAACGUCACUGGCAUAUGCAACAAAAACAUAUUUUAUAUGAACAGGAGGCGAAGUGUAGCCUUCCAGACGACAUUAUUGUGAGUAAUGAAAUGAAACGAACAGAAUUCAAUGACAUCGGAAAAGGCGAGUAUGAUGGCAUUAAUAUUUGUGCCAAAUCAGUAUGCGAGAAAUUCGCAUACGAUGAUUCGUUCAUUAGGCUGAACGGUAAUUUUUACCACAUAAAUAGAAUUUUGCUGGAUCCCGAAGGACAUAUUUGUGUGGUAGCCGAGAAACUUCUUUCAAAGAAAAUAUAUGGAAACAUGUUUGGAUAUCAAUAUUCAAAACAGCAAUUUUUAUUACCUCUUAAUGAAUCACUUAGGCACUUAGGCAAUGCGUGAGUGUAAAAGUAAAUUCGGAAAGUAAUCCUACAAUAACUAAAAGAUUUAUAUCUACGUGUAAA